AGAGACAGCAGUCGCCGCGGGAAUACGUAGGGUGCGAGCGUUAAUCGGAAUUACUGGGCGUAAAGCGUGCGCAGGCGGUUCGUUAAGACAGAUGUGAAAUCCCCGGGCUUAACCUGGGAACUGCAUUUGUGACUGGCGAGCUAGAGUAUGGCAGAGGGGGGUAGAAUUCCACGUGUAGCAGUGAAAUGCGUAGAGAUGUGGAGGAAUACCGAUGGCGAAGGCAGCCCCCUGGGCCAAUACUGACGCUCAUGCACGAAAGCGUGGGGAGCAAACAGGAUUAGAUACCCCGGUAGUCCCUGUCUCUUAUAC
rnacentral:rRNA from 1 species